UACGUAGGGUGCAAGCGUUGUCCGGAAUUAUUGGGCGUAAAGAGCUCGUAGGCGGUUUGUCGCGUCUGCUGUGAAAACUCGGGGCUUAACCCCGGGCCUGCAGUGGGUACGGCAGACUAGAGUGCGGUAGGGGAGACUGGAAUUCCACGUGUAGCGGUGAAAUGCGUAGAGAUGUGGAGGAACACCGAUGGCGAAGGCAGCCUCCUGGGCCAAUACUGACGCUCAUGCACGAAAGCGUGGGGGGAGCAAACAGG
rnacentral:rRNA from 1 species